rnacentral:rRNA from 1 species
UUGGGGGACUUAAAUGAAAUAUUAUAUUCUUCGAAGAAAGAGGGUGGUAACGCGAGAUCAAAUGGCAUGAUGAGGGAAUUCCGUGAAUGCCUUAUGGACUAUGGGCUGGAGGAUUUAGGAUAUAUCAACGAACCUUUUACUUAGAGUAGAGGUGAUAUUCGAGAGCAUCUUGACUGUGCAGUGUGUAAUGUAGGGUGGGCUCAUAAAUUUCCUUGUGCGGCUGUGAUUAACGAAGAACAUGUUCACUCUGACCACCGUCCGCUGGUCCUGGAUAUGAACUGUCUGGAUGAUAAUAUUUUUAGACAGUCGAUGGGGUGUGUAAAACAAUUUGAAGCUAAAUGGCUAAAGGAAGAGACUGUUAAUGAAACCAUGAAGGCAUAUUGGGAAAAAGAAAAGUUAGUAGGCAUUGGCCCUUCCCUUUGUUGA